AUUGAACGCUGGCGGCAGGCCUAACACAUGCAAGUCGAACGAGUGGCGGACGGGUGAGUAAUGUCUGGGAAACUGCCUGAUGGAGGGGGAUAACUACUGGAACCGGUAGCUAAUACCGCAUACCAUCGGAUGUGCCCAGAGUGGAGUAGCUAGUUGGUGGGGUAACGGCUCACCAAGACGACGCUCCCUAGCUGGUCUGAGAGGAUGACCAGCCACACUGGAACUGAGACACGGCCCAGACUCCUACGGGAGGCAGCAGUGGGGAAUAUUGCACAAUGGGCGCAAGCCUGAUGCAGCAAUGCCGCGUGUAUGAAGAAGGCCUUCGGGUUGUAAAGUACUUUCAGCGGGGAGGCGUUACCCGCAGAAGAAGCACCGGCUAACUCCGUGCCAGCAGCCGCGGUAAUUC
rnacentral:rRNA from 1 species